ACGGUAUGCAAGUUCAACAAGUAGCAGAAGUCAUCUAUGUACAAAAAUUCUUUCCUUACCACUACAGAAGUUGUUGAACUUGAAGACCGUGUUCAUCUCGCGAGGAUGUCCUCAGCUGGGCGGCACCGCACUUCGUCAUGAAAGAGGUUAGAUGCUACGGAAAAGGGGACACGGUCACGAUGUCCGUAUCCACUCUUUCUCGUAGAAUCGAACCUCCUUCUUGACAUACGUUGCUGCUCGGCGGAAAACAUCCUCGGAGAGAUGAACACGGUAUGCAAGUUCAACAAGUAGCAGAAGUCAUCUAUGUACAAAAAUUCUUUCCUUACCACUACAGAAGUUGUUGAACUUGAAGACCGUGUUCAUCUCGCGAGGAUGUCCUCAGCUGGGCGGCACCGCACUUCGUCAUGAAAGAGGUUAGAUGCUACGGAAAAGGGGACACGGUCACGAUGUCCGUAUCCACUCUUUCUCGUAGAAUCGAACCUCCUUCUUGACAUACGUUGCUGCUCGGCGGAGAACAUCCUCGCCGAGGCGAACACGGUAUGCAAGUUCAACAAGUAUGAAUUUAAAAAACCAUAUUGAAUUUGAUAAGAUAAACCGUCUAGACAAGGUAGCAUCAUUUUUAAACCACUGAAAUAAUGCAUACUAUAUAUGACACAUCAAUCUCCCUCACAUUCUAGCUCAAAAUACCACUCCAUUUUUCUACUUCAUCAUCAC
rnacentral:lncRNA from 1 species